AAAGAAGAAAGAACAAAAAAAGAUAAGAAGAGGAGUUGCAGAAAAGGGGAAGAAGAAAAAAAAAAGAAGAGGAGCUAUGGGAAAAAAGGAAGAAGAAGGAAAAAAAAGGAGAAAAAAAAAGAAAAAUGAAAAAAAAAAAUGAAGGAAGGGAAAAUAGAAGUGUGGCGACCAAUAUGAUGUUGGUGCGCCGCAUGCGACAAUGUGUGCUGAUUCGAUCAUCAGCAUUGACAUUUUU
rnacentral:lncRNA from 1 species